ensembl:lncRNA
GACACUCAGACCCUAACUCCACCAGCCCAGGCAGAGUUGAGCGGAAGGGGGCGGAGCUACGCGGGAGGGAAGCCCCCAGGGAUGAGAGUGGUGCAGAAACCGGGUUGGCGGGGUCCUGAGCCAGCUCUGGGAGUUGGUGGAGCCAUCUGACAUGUUGGAGGCCCUCCCACAGGCUGUCCAUCUAAGGAAACCAUUGCUCUCCUGAGUCACCCAGGAUCCAAACGACUGACUCACACACUUGCAAAUGUGCUGGCAGGCAGGUUCACUCCAUGACAUGGAACCCAUGCCUGACACUGCUGAAGUGGCGAAGAAUCUGAGACUAGGUAGGCCAUGGCCUUCUGGGAAAACCAAGUUCUACUGUUCUCACGAAUUAGCAUCACAGUAGAACAACUCCUAAUGACACUCUGCUAUGCCCAUAGAUCAGUACCUUGCUCAUCCAUCAGCACAGAUGCUUUCUCUUGCUGUAGAUGGGAAUAGCACAGAGACCCACCACUGGGUAAAAUGCAGAGUGAGAGACUUUGAAGUUCUCAAUCCUAAAUGGGAUGUCUUCAUCAAACCCCUCCCCUCAGGGUUCAGGGAGCUGUGAAGAAGAGGAGGCAAAAAGACUGUAAGAGCCAGAGGUAAUAAAUGAUUCCAAUGAAACAGUGUCUUCUAGACACAGCAUGAUGGAUGCACGCAUGUACUCACAGAGACUAUGGCAACAAACGCAGCACCUGCACAGGUUCAAACUGGAUGGGGUCCUGGUGCUGAGAGGGAGAAGUCAGCAUGUGCUCCCAUCUCUAACCAAGAAGCUAUCUGUAAUUAAUACCCACAGGCAGUGAGAAGUUUACUUUUCUCCAGUGGAGUUUCACUGGGUAUAUUAACCACAUAGUUCAUGGUAGGCCACGUGCUCAAGAGUAACUGGCCAACACAAAAAUGAACUCAGUGGUAUUUGCCUCAGUUUUUGUUUGGAUAUUUUUUUUGUCUUGUUGGUCUUAUGCUUACAUAUUUUGGUUUCUGUUUUUGUGUUUUAAUGAGGUUUGCGCUUUUUGUUUGUUUUUUAAAGAGAGGGGAA